rnacentral:rRNA from 1 species
AACAACUCACCUGCCGAAUGAAUUAGCCCUGAAAAUGGAUGGCGCUUAAGCGAGCAGCCGACACCACACCGUCUGACCAAAUUUGGCGUCCAGAUGAGUAGGGGGACGUGCCGGUUGUAUAGAAGCGUACGGGCAACUGUGCGUGGAACGGCCGGUAAUGCAGAUCUUGGUUGUAGUAGCAAAUAUUCAAGUUCGAUCCUUGAAGGGCGAAGCGGGGAAGGGUUCCACGCGAACAUUGAUUGAGCGUGGGUGAGUCGUUCCUAAGCCGAGGGGUGAUUCCCGUUAUACGGCGAAAGGGAAGCAGGUUGACAUUCCUGCACACGGAUGUGGAGGCGGUGACGCCCUUCUGGGGAGGUGACGUUGGCGGUAGCUCUGGGCAGAGUUUUCUUUUCUGUUUAACCGUCCACCUGCGCUGUGUGGAAUCCGCUUGUCGGGAGAAACACGCGCAACCGGGCAAAGCGCCGGGGAUUUUCCGGCGUCCAGAUCGUUACCGACAGCCCUUGAAAAACCUCUUGCUGGGGCAAGAUGUGCUUUUGCACGUCUUGCUUGAAUAAUCCACGCCGUAACGUACCCAUAACCGCAUCAGGUCCCCAAGGUGAACAGCCUCUGCUCAAUAUGGUAAAU